AGAUUGAACGCUAGCGGGAUGCUUUACACAUGCAAGUCGAACGGCAGCGCGGACUUCGGUCUGGCGGCGAGUGGCGAACGGGUGAGUAAUAUAUCGGAACGUGCCCAGUAGCGGGGGAUAACUACGCGAAAGCGUGGCUAAUACCGCAUACGCCCUACGGGGGAAAGGGGGGAUCGCAAGACCUCUCACUAUUGGAGCGGCCGAUAUCAGAUUAGCUAGUUGGUGAGGUUAAAGGCU
rnacentral:rRNA from 1 species